UUGAAACCACUUUCUGCUAUCCCCAUGCCCGAUCUUGCGCCUGUCCAGAAAAAUGCCUUGAAGCUCAAUGACGAAGAGAAAAUGGCAAUAUAAAAAAAAUGAAAAUGGGUAAAUGUUGUAACAAAAACCACCUCCACAACAUUAACUCCUUCCACCCAAACUCCAAAGUAUACAACCUCCGAAACAAUCCAAGCCCCUGACUCCCGAAGUCCUGAAGUCGCUCUCGAAAAAAAGAAGAACCUGAGG
rnacentral:lncRNA from 1 species